UCGGCGGUGGCGGAGUACUUGACGCCACCGGCCUUACCGCGGCCGCCGACCUUGACCUGGGACUUGAUCAUGACCGGCUUGCCGAUC
rnacentral:tRNA from 1 species